UAUUCUGCCCCAUGGGGAAGGAUGAGAAGCUUCGACUAAGGUUCGACUCGAGCGAAGCGAGAGAACGUUGCCGCAGGCAACGGCCCGAAGGGCGAGGCGC
rnacentral:sRNA from 2 species